GACGAACGCUGGCGGCGUGCUUAACACAUGCAAGUCGAACGGAAAGGCCCUGCUUUUGUGGGGUGCUCGAGUGGCGAACGGGUGAGUAACACGUGAGUAACCUGCCCUUGACUUUGGGAUAACUUCAGGAAACUGGGGCUAAUACCGGAUAGGAGCUCCUGCUGCAUGGUGGGGGUUGGAAAGUUUCGGCGGUUUGGGAUGGACUCGCGGCUUAUACUCUUGUUGGUGGGGUAGGGGCUUACCAAGGCUUUGACGGGGAGCCGGCCUGAGAGGGUGACCGGCCACAUUGGGACUGGGAUACGGCCCAGACUGAUACGGGAGGCAGGAGUGGGGAAUAUUGCACAAAGGGCGGAAGCCUGGAGCAGGAACGCCGCGUGGGGGAGGACGGCCUUCGGGUUGUAAACCGCUUUCGCCUGUGACGAAGCGUGAGUGACGGUAAUGGGGAAAGAAGCACCGGCUAACUACGU
rnacentral:rRNA from 1 species